ACCAUAAAAGAGGAAAAACAAAAAUUAUCAUUAAUAUGUUUUAAGGAAAGUAGGCCAAAAUCUAAAAAUUGUUAUCUGAUGGAGGGAAAUUCGGGUCCGAGUCAAUAUGUGUGUGCAUCUUAAUGAUUUUAUCAGGUAACUGCUACCUCCCACCAUCACAAGCAUCGGGUAAUGCAGAUGGAAAAUAAUCGGGCUAGGACUGAUAUGUAACUUAACAUACUUGGUUUGGUGAUAAAGAUGCUAGAGACCUCGAAGGACAUCUGGCAGAAGUUCUACCACCCGGGGGCACAACUACGGGUUUCCUAAGAGGGGAUGAGUUGUGCAUCCUCUUGAUGCCUUUAUCAAUAACAAUUACUUCUCUGAUCUCUCCCCUAAGUGGUUAAAGGUUUGGAAAAAUGAUAUGAGCCAGCUUCUCUCUGGUGAUCCAUCUGCUUGAGCUUUGCCCAUACAUAUCGAGGUGCGUAGCAUAAUUCGAUAUAUUCAAAACAGAGUGGAUUUGCUGAUCAAUAUGCGACUGAAGAAGCCCGGUUUUGUAAGAUACCAUCAGUCACAUUCAGUGCCCUUUCUUUGACUUCAAAUUUUGUGACCAACAAUGAAGCACUGUUUUGAUCCAAUAGGCUAUGUGGCUUAGUUCUACGUUGAUCACCUAUAAUAAUUACUCACAGAAAACUAAAAAGAAAGACGGAAAGCGUCUGAGUGGCGGGGAAGGCAGAAGAAAAA